rnacentral:lncRNA from 1 species
GUCUGAUCUGGAGCUAGUGAAAACACGUGACCCCAGAGUUCAGAACAAUUCUGAUACACAGGGAGGACACUGGGUUCUGCCCUUGACCUUCUCCAUCUUGGCGAGAACAGGAAGUACAUGGAAACCUGGGUCCCAUUUGCAGGGAUUCCUUAAAACUGCUUAGGGCCCAGAAGACAAGGACUUCUGAUCCUCAGUACAACACGGCAACAUAGCCAACACUUUAGUGACAGGGCUUUCUUCUUCAGUGUGGAGAGGGUCUUAAAUACCUUCUUAAAUACCUUCUGAGAGCAUAUACUGGCAUCAGGACAUACACAAUGGAGUUAUUUACCAUAGUGGGUCACAUAGAGACACACAGAGACAUACAUACACACAGAGACACACACACAGACAUGAAGGUAGAUGGAUGACUAGCUAUGAAGAGGAAGAAAAUCAUCAGGAGGAGGAGGAGGGGAAUAAGGGGGUAAUGGAGGUAAAUCUAAUCAAAUUCAAUAUAUACAUGAAUGUCACAAUGAGAAUAUAUUCAAUAUAUACAUGAAUGUCACAGUGAAAAUAUAUGCGGAUAAAAGCAAAAGAUAAGUAUGUGCUGAAUUAAUUACAAAAAUGCUUUGGUGGAUAUUUAAAAUGUGAGGUGGACACACUCUGACUCAUUUUUUUUAAAGAGGAAAUAAAAGCUAUUCACUUGCACCGAGCUGACCAUCUUACUUCACUCCCAUCUACAGGAAAGGCAGGAUAGGCCUUCAUUGACUCAUUCAUUCAUGACUUCUGUCAGUGACUAGUUGAGACUUCAUGGUCUGUAAGACACUUUGCCAGAUCUUCAGGAAACACAAAGUGGAUUCUUUCUCAGAGAGAGAGAAAGGCUCCCUCUAGUAGAUUUAAUGAAGCCAUCCAAGGAGAUAUUGUUGUACUUUAUAGCUCUCAAAUAUGUGUACUUAUAGAGAUGAACAAUAAUGGUGUAAAGCAUUAUUCAAAAAUCACCAUUAAGAGAUUUGUAAUAUUAUAAUUGGGAGAGGUGAUUUGAAUUCAUUUUUACGGUCCCAUAAUGAUGUAUUAGAUACUUGGAAAAUAUUUAUUUGUGUAUGUGUGAGUAGCACACAUAAAUCUGGAUGAGAUUGGUGGAGAAGAGAUGUAGGUGUUCAGAUGAAGACACAGCUAAAGAGAAGGCAUCUGUGGUCCAGAGAGGGACAAGCAGCCUGAGAAAAUUAAGGGUGGAUGCUACUUUGGAAAACAUACUAGACAUUGCUAUAGCAACUAAAGCAAAGGGUGAUGAUUGUCUUUCAGAAAACAAACAAACAAAAAAAGCAGGAAUCCAGUUUCUGGGCUCAAAGAAGAGUAUUUAGUCCUGCUUUAAAAACAACAGCAACAACAAAAGC